UUUAUGAUCAUCUAGUUCCAACUCCCCUGCUAUAGGCAGGAACACCUCCCUCUGAACCUGGAUGAUCUGAAGCUGGGAAGAUUGGCCAACCCCUCAGAAGGUCAUGCUGCCAUUCAGGGAGACCUGCAUGGGCUGAGAGUUGGGCAGCGUGGAACCUGGUUUCACCAAAGCCCCAUCAUUGGCGAAGGUCUGACCACAGUGACCUCCUGCACACCUCACACCACUAAAUCUCAGUGCUCCGAGAAGAACCUGAAGGCAUGUGAGAUGUUCAGCUCUCUGCUGUCUUUCAGUGUGCAGACUCACCUUUUCACCCAAGGAAGGAACUGAUGUCACCACCUGGAGAUCUGCAACAUCUCUGGGAGGAUCUGCGUGCCUGUGAUCACAGCAGAGUGCGACUGCAGCAGCCAGUGGCUUCCCAGGAAGAAGAGGGCUUUGGGAUGGGUGGUACCUGGAUUUACUUUCCACAGGACUGCACAGGCUUGAUUCAGCUCCCACUGAGAGAUAUGAAAUUGCUUCAACAGAAACAGGACCUGACCUUAACCGAGAGACAAGCCAGGACCUGGAGCAGCCCCAGCCGCGUGACACAGGCACAGACAUGCCAGCAGCCACCUCCUCACCCUGCCCUGGUUUGUAUUGCAGUCAGUCCCUGGGAGAAAAUAGAAAUUCAUCACAAUGAGCAACACAGAGGCUUGGCUCGGUAGUGUCAUUUAAUGCCUGAUAAUCCCUCAUCCCAAUUUGCUUCAAUUUAUUAGAUGUCCCUGGAAACAGGUGUGAUGGAAAUACCAUGGAAACGUGAGACAAGUGGAGCCAUCAGUUCACAGCCUCUCCAGCAGCAGUUUCAUCAGGGAGAGCAGAGCUGACAUCACAUGGGCACCUCCCUCUCCUCCCUCCUUCAUGUCGAGCCCAAAGACAGCCCCACGCUGCAGCCUAAGGGGCACUUUUCAUCAGGACUGGAGUGGGAAUUGUGUCCACAACUGUCAGCACCAACAGCCCUCCCAAAGUAAUCCCAACUUGGGCAGAAAGGGGCAGAUUAAAUUGCCCGAGCUAAGCUGCUUGCAUCUGGAGACACCCAGUAGGGUGUUGCUUCCCUCUCCCCAGCCCUUACGCUUCAGCAGUGCCACUUGGCUCAGAUAAUUUACUUUUAAUAGUCUGGUUACAAAUGAGAUUGCAAAGGAAGCACGUGAUUCUGAACUGGGAUUUCUGAGUCACAUUCUCAUUUCCCCCUAGUGCCUCCUAGGCCUCUAAUAAACUACAAAGAGACAUUAAGAAAACAAUAAGAACUCCUUAUCUACUGAGACUGGGGAGCAGGAACAGUGAGCCGGCAAUAAUGGAUUCUGCGUAUCUGCAGUACGUUCCUGUGGCAGCAACUGAACGAGGGGAAUGGGAAGUUCGAGUGCUCAGGACAUGGACUGCCCAGAUCAGUUGGCCAGCAGUGUGUAGACAGCAGGUUUCUGCAGCGACCCACAAAAUGUGUUCUCCCUGCUUGACCCAUCCCACUGCGUUUCUGACUGCACUUGGACAUGGUGAAGAUUGGUAGCAUUGAGCUCAGAUCCCAGUCAAGAAAUUUGAAAUUGGAUUUGAGGGAAAGAAAACAAAAACAAAAUGCAAUCAACAGGGACAGGGAAGAAAAGAGUUGCUGAAGAGUGUGAGCCUCCAGAAGCUGGAAUAGGAAAGAACAGAACCAUUCAAGCAUCCCCUGGUAUGGUGUUCCUUCCUCAAGUCCCUGCAAUUGGUCUGGUCCUGCGUCUCACUAAGCACACCCUUCUUGUGCCAUCUCUCAGGAAUGUGGAAAGGUCCACAGCACAUUAUGGAGCAUAAGCAUGUGUGGUCCAUCCGCUGACUCCCUCUGAAUCCUGUCCUACAACAACAAAUAUAUGUGCUCCUGCCAUUAAAAACAAGGUGAAAACGAGGAGCUGUGCAAAGUUAAUCAGAGAGCUGAAAUGAGAUGUUGGAGAAAGGGGCUGUGGGUGACGUGGGGUUUGCAGUCAGCUGAGCGAUGUGAAAUCUCUUGUAUCUGCCUGAGCUCUGAAAGGAAAUGCUUUAUUAAAUCUUCUUUGUGUGAGAUUUCAAGCUGCCUCUGGACUGGAAAAUAGGACCAUUCCGUGUGGCAUCUAAUCAGAACUGAAGUAUUUAGUGCAGGCUUUUCUGCAGAGCAGACUGAUCAGCAUAGACAAGUAACUCAGAAGUCUCAGCAUUCAAAAAGCUGAAUUAGACACAGUACAUCUGUGGUCUGCUGUGCACCUCUCCUACACAGUAUCCCCCAAAAUGCUUCACAGAAGGAACCAUGCAACAAGCCAGGCGUUGGGAAGGCAGCACAACAGGACAUAAAUGCACACCACUGAAUCCUAACCAGCCAGAAGGUCUCAGCUCCACUAUCUGCAUUUGCAUUCCCACGGACACGUAGGAGUUGCCAUGACUGAAAAGAUUCACUGAGUUUCCUUUCCACUGCCUGUCCUGGAAGCCAUUGGUGUCAUUGCUUCAUGCUGAGACAUCACUGUGUUAUGGGAAGCUGCAGCCUCUGACCAUCUAUGUCCAGCACUCAUGGGGCUUUGCUGUAAGCAGGUGGGUAGCUCACAGCUCUGCCCACCACAAACACUUGCAGAAAGUAAACACUAAAAAGAAAAAAGAAAAACAAGAGCCAGGCACCACAGUCAGAGGUGAGGACAAGGGAGGGGCUCCUGGAGCACCACCCUGUGUCACACAAGCUCCCUUUUGCACGUCUUCUCUCUCCGUCUGUGUUUGGCCACGUUUUCAGGAAAAUGAGACCUGAUCAGAGGCAGGAGAGGAAAUAUCAACCGGACUGCCUCCUCCUCAACCUCCCUUACUUCGCAUUUUAGCCUACCUGGAGCUGAGGAGGCUUAAAUCUCACUCUGCCUGCUGGAAAUCUCAGGGUUUGAGCUCCUGAUCUGCUUUCUGCAAACUCCAAUGGGAAAGCGUCCCAUGGACUGAGAUGCACAGAGCAUUCCCCUUCCCUUGCACCGCCCCUGCUGCAGAUGAACUCCUUGCCUACCUUUUGUUGCUGACAAGAAGCAGGACUGAGCCGUUCUGGAUAUUGGCUGCUUUCAAAGUCUCAUGCUCUUCAAGCUGCCUGGAGUUGUAAUAAAAUGUUUUCUUCCAGGAAGUGACGCCCUCCCGUACUAGGUAAGCCCGUAGGUCCAUCACUGUGUCUCUGGGCUUGACGGUCAGCGGCAUCAUCAGGUCCUCAUCAGCCAAGUGCACCUUAAUGUGGUACCUCUUCCAGCGAGAAAGGCUUCUUCGCAGUGUGUCCAUCCUCUCCGGCUCACCAGGGACGGUGUGGCAGAGAGGAGCAUCCAG
rnacentral:lncRNA from 1 species